GGAGACAAGAGAGCGAGUGGCAUGCUUUUACCAUCAAAGCUGGUUUGUCAUAGGGCUUCGACUAUCACAGCCAGCUUUGAUGAGCAAAAUUGUGUCCGGCAU